rnacentral:rRNA from 1 species
AGAAUGAACGCUGGCGGCAUGCCUAACACAUGCAAGUCGAACGAAGCCUUCGGGUUUAGUGGCGCACGGGUGCGUAACGCGUGGGAAUCUACCCCUUGGUUCGGAAUAACAGUUGGAAACGACUGCUAAUACCGGAUGAUGACGUAAGUCCAAAGAUUUAUCGCCGAGGGAUGAGCCCGCGUAGGAUUAGGUAGUUGGUGUGGUAAAGGCGCACCAAGCCGACGAUCCUUAGCUGGUCUGAGAGGAUGAUCAGCCACACUGGGACUGAGACACGGCCCAGACUCCUACGGGAGGCAGCAGUGGGGAAUAUUGGACAAUGGGCGAAAGCCUGAUCCAGCAAUGCGCGUGAGUGAUGAAGGCCUUAGGGUUGUAAAGCUCUUUUACCCGGGAUGAUAAUGACAGUACCGGGAGAAUAAGCUCCGGCUAACUCCGUGCCAGCAGCCGC